rnacentral:rRNA from 1 species
UAGUGGCGAACGGGUGAGUAACACGUGGGUAACCUGCCCAUCAGAAGGGGAUAACUAUUGGAAACGAUAGCUAAUACCGUAUACGAUACUAAGUCGCAUGGCUAAGUAUUGAAAGAAGCGUUUGCUUCGCUGAUGGAUGGACCCGCGGUGCAUUAGCUAGUUGGUGAGGUAAAGGCUCACCAAGGCGACGAUGCAUAGCCGGGCUGAGAGGCUGAUCGGCCACAUUGGAACUGAGACACGGUCCAAACACC